CUGGUUGAUCCUGCCAGAGGUUACUGCUAUCGAGGUUCGACUAAGCCAUGCGAGUCGAAUGUAGCAAUACAUGGCGUACUGCUCAGUAACACGUGGACAACCUGCCCUUAGGUCGGGUAUAAACCCGGGAAACUGGGUAUAAUCCCCGAUAGGUCUCAGCUGCUGGAAUGCAUCGAGAUUUGAAGCUCCGGCGCCUAAGGAUGGGUCUGCGGCCUAUCAGGUAGUAGUGGGUGUAGCGUACCUACUAGCCUACGACGGGUACGGGUUGUGAGAGCAAGAGCCCGGAGAUGGAUUCUGAGACACGAAUCCAGGCCCUACGGGGUGCAGCAGGCGCGAAAACUUUACAAUGCUGGCAACAGCGAUAAGGGAACCUCGAGUGCCAGGUUACAAAUCUGGCUGUCGAGAUGCCUAAAAAGCAUUUCAUAGCAAGGGCCGGGCAAGACCGGUGCCAGCCGCCGCGGUAACACCGGCGGCUCGAGUGGUAACCGUUAUUAUUGGGUCUAAAGGGUCUGUAGCCGGCCGGAUAAGUCUCUUGAGAAAUCUGGCAGCUUAACUGUCAGGCUUUCAGGAGAUACUGUCUGGCUCGAGGCCGGGAGAGGUGAGAGGUACUUCAGGGGUAGGGGUGAAAUCUUGUAAUCCUUGAAGGACCACCAGUGGCGAAGGCGUCUCACCAGAACGGACCCGACGGCAAGGGACGAAAGCUAGGGGCACGAACCGGAUUAGAUACCCGGGUAGUCCUAGCCGUAAACGAUACUCGCUAGGUGUCGGCCGCGGUGCGACCGUUGUCAGUGCCGUAGGGAAGCCGUGAAGCGAGCCACCUGGGAAGUACGGCCGCAAGGCUGAAACUUAAAGGAAUUGGCGGGGGAGCACCAC
rnacentral:rRNA from 1 species